AGCCCUGGCUUGGCUGCCCCAAGGGUCACAGCAGGCAGCUGAGUGUGGGGCUGUGACUGGAGAGAGCCAGUCCCAUUGGCUGUGUUGAUGUUGACACCUCCCUGUUCCCCACUCCCGUGCAGGAGCCAGGGCCAUGCCCCACAGUGGGGUCAGCAGCUCUGAGCCCCUUGCCCCUGUCCUUCUCGCUGCUCCCCAGGGAACUACAGCUGUGCCUUUCUGCAGGUUGAGGUGGGAUGCUCCUCGUGGCCCUGUGACCAGCCCUGUCACACCUUGGUGCCCACUGAUGACACCAGCUGACUCAAAGCUGGACCAGAAUCGCUGCAGAGUUCAGAUGUUUUAGGAAGGAGAUCCAGGGAGGAGAACCAAGUGAGGAGCCGCCUGUGGAAGCUGGAUGGGGCUGCCUGGAGCCCAGCCCACCUCAGCCACUCUGCCUGGAUGGAGCUGUUGAGAGCACAGAACCAGAACCAGGCCCUGAGGCCCAGAGCUGGCACGAGCACCGUGGGGCAUCACCUGGAGCUGCUGGCCAAGGAUGUGGGAGGUCCUGCAGUGCCAGGUGAGAGCGCACCUGCAGAGCUGCUCCAGCUCUGGGACCUCCAACAUCAGAAGAGUGUGGAGCAACGGGUAUGAGUCCAGAGGUGUCAGAACUCAGUACAUCCCUCCGGGUGUCCAGAGUUGCCGAGGACCCCACUGGGGGGCUCGGAGACCUUGGCUUGCUGCCCAGAACACCUGGGGAUUUGAUUUUGACCCUUGGAGCAAGUUGCCAACUUUGUAUGAGGACAUGAAGGUCACACAGGUUUGAACAGUGUAAUAACAAAAUGAUCCUAGGGUGAAAAUGUAGAUUUUAGGAUUUUUGGUAUAGGGGUUAUGGGGACAAGAUGGAGGAAUCAGGGCGUGUCUAGCCUUCCUUCUUCUUCUUCUUGUUCUCCAUUUUCUGCUGUGAUGUUGGUACUUUGGGAUUGGUUUAGAGAAGAAGUGCACUGUCCAACAUAGGUGAUAGGUAUUGGGAAUUAAGUGUAAAUAGGAAAUACGUAGUUUGUAGUAUAAAAGGACAGCACCGCCUUGGGGGCGGUCAGAGUGCUCAUGGCUGCCCUGCAGAGCGGAUCUCCACUGGGCAGAAAGAAAAUUUUAUAGAUAAGAAUUAAUAAACAACCUCAAGACCAAAAAGUGAAGAGUCCAGACUCAUUCUUCAGUUGUGCAGAGACAUCCUACGCAUCUUGGGGCAGCAAUUACCAACAGCAACCCAAGAUUUGGCAUCCCUGGCUGGGCACGUUCCAAGGGGGCACUGAUAAACCUCUUGGGAAGCAGCCAGAACAGCCUGGGAAGCAGCAGCC